UACGUAGGGUGCGAGCGUUAAUCGGAAUUACUGGGCGUAAAGCGUGCGCAGGCGGUUCGUUAAGUCAGCUGUGAAAGCCCCGAGCUUAACUUGGGAAUUGCGGUUGAAACUGGCGGACUAGAAUCUGGCAGAGGGGGGUGGAAUUCCUGGUGUAGCAGUGAAAUGCGUAGAUAUCAGGAGGAAUACCGAUGGCGAAGGCAGGUCUCUGGGCUGACACUGACGCUCAUGCACGAAAGCGUGGGGAGCAAACAGG
rnacentral:rRNA from 1 species